UGAGGAAUAUUGGGUCAAUGGACGAAAGUCUGAACCAGCCAUGCCGCGUGAAGGAAUAAGGCCCUAUGGGCCGUAAACUUCUUUUGUAUGUGAGCAAUAAGGUCCACGUGUGGUCCGAUGAGAGUAGCAUACGAAUAAGCAUCGGCUAACUCCGUGCCAGCAGCCGCGGUAAUACGGAGGAUGCAAGCGUUAUCCGGAUUCAUUGGGUUUAAAGGGUGCGUAGGCGGCUUGGUAAGUCAGCGGUGAAAUUCCAGUGCUCAACAUUGGCCGUGCCGUUGAUACUGCUGGGCUUGAAUGCGGAUGCCGUGGGAGGAAUGUGUGGUG
rnacentral:rRNA from 1 species